rnacentral:rRNA from 1 species
UACGAAGGGGGCGAGCGUUGUUCGGAAUUACUGGGCGUAAAGGGCGCGUAGGCGGCGACUCAAGUUAGAUGUGAAAGUCCUGGGCUUAACCUGGGGACUGCAUUUGAUACUGGGUUGCUUGAAUUCGGGAGAGGAUAGCGGAAUUCCCAGUGUAGAGGUGAAAUUCGUAGAUAUUGGGAGGAACACCGGUGGCGAAGGCGGCUAUCUGGACCGACAUUGACGCUCAUGUGCGAAAGCGUGGGGAGCAAACAGG